UGUUAAUGGUGGAUUGAUAGAAGAAUUGAUAUGGGUUCCCUGUGAAAAUCAGAUUGAGAAGAAGAUUGUUGUUGAAAUUGAGUGUUGGAGCUGUAAUUUGGAAUCUGUUGCUGCUAAUCGAGAUAGAGAUGAGUAGCUGCUUCGACUGUCGAGUUUGAAUCAAGAUAAAUCAGAGAUUUCGAUUUGUAGAAGAUUGAAUAUGAGAGCUGAUGCUGAAUUGAAGUGGUUUUGAUGGGUGAUGUUUCUUGGUUGAUUUGAAUUCAACAGAGAAGAAGGAUAAAAUUGAGAAUCUGAUGAAAUGAAGGAGGUUAUUGAAGUGGUUGCAGUGGUGCUUGUAGUGGAUUGAGAAUAGCAGAAGGCUGUAGUGCUGGUGUUUUUGCUCGCUGUGAUUGUGGUUGGCCUGAGAUGGUGGUGAACAAGAUGGUGUGCACUUGGUGGUAGUGAAGCUGGAGUUGUGGCUUGAAAUGGUUGCCUAUUCAAAUGUACUGAGUACGCCAAAGGAUCCUCCAACUUCGAGAUUUUCCAGGACAACGACAGUUUUUCUAGGUUGAACGUAAAGAGAAACUACUCUGAUGUGUUUGUCGUGGGUGGUUUCAAAUGAUGCAUCCUCAGUGGCUUUAGCGGGCUGGGCAUGUUAAAGUGAGAUCAAAUUCAAUACGUGACAGAUCCAUGGCAGUAGGUUGCUUCGAUGAUUGCUAGAACAUCUACCGAAAGAACUUGAUGACAAGAUGAAAAAUGAAAAGCCAAAUGGGUUUAGGUUGCAGGGUCAGCAUACUGAGUUGUAUUACACAUGUAAUACAACGGCCUAACAGGAACCAGUACUACAAAAACAAGAAGCGUUGAAUGCACUUCAUCAAAGGUCACAAGAAUGUCAAAUGUUUCGAGUAUAUUGAUAGAUGCCCCAAGUCUUACGUUACUAAGUGAUGCCAUUGAUCCUUAUCAGAAAAAUAAGAUACUUACUUCCAUGUAGUCGAGUAAGUAA